AUGGCUUUCACGGGCCUCUUUUUCAAGAAGUGUUGGAACAUUGUCAAAGUCGACCUCGUGAGGGACAUUAGUAAUUUUGACUCACUUCACACUGCAAACCUCCAGUGGCUCAACUCCGAGGAUGUGGUGCUUCUGUCUAAAAAGGAAGGGGCGAAGCAAAUCGCCGACUAUAGACCCAUCAGCCUCAUCCACGCGAUUGCAAAAAAUAUUGCGAGAGUGCUCUUCCUAAGGCUUGGUCCCCACGUGACAAGUCUCGUCUACAACACCCAAAGCACUUUCAUCAAAACAACAAGCAUUCAUAACAACUUCUUG
rnacentral:rRNA from 1 species